UAGCAUAUCAAUAAGCGGAGGAAAAGAAACCAACAGGGAUUGCCCCAGUAACGGCGAGUGAAGCGGCAACAGCUCAAAUUUGAAAUCUGGCUUCGGCCCGAGUUGUAAUUUGCAGAGGAAGCUUUAGGCGCGGCACCAUCUGAGUCCCCUGGAACGGGGCGCCACAGAGGGUGAGAGCCCCGUAUAGAUGGACGCCUAGCCUGUGUAAAGCUCCUUCGACGAGUCGAGUAGUUUGGGAAUGCUGCUCUAAAUGGGAGGUAAAUUUCUUCUAAAGCUAAAUACCGGCCAGAGACCGAUAGCGCACAAGUAGAGUGAUCGAAAGAUGAAAAGCACUUUGAAAAGAGGGUUAAAUAGCACGUGAAAUUGUUGAAAGGGAAGCGCUUGUGACCAGACUUGCGCCGGGCGGAUCAUCCGGUGUUCUCACCGGUGCACUCCGCCCGGCUCAGGCCAGCAUCGGUUCUCGUGGGGGGACAAAGGUCCCGGGAACGUAGCUCCUCCGGGAGUGUUAUAGCCCGGGGCGUAAUGCCCUCGCGGGGACCGAGGACCGCGCUUCGGCAAGGAUGCUGGCGUAAUGGUCAUCAGCGACCCGUCUUGAAACACGGACCAAGGAGUCAAGGUUUUGCGCGAGUGUUUGGGUGUAAAACCCGCACGCGUAAUGAAAGUGAACGUAGGUGAGAGCUUCGGCGCAUCAUCGACCGAUCCUGAUGUUUUCGGAUGGAUUUGAGUAGGAGCGUUAAGCCUUGGACCCGAAAGAUGGUGAACUAUGCUUGGAUAGGGUGAAGCCAGAGGAAACUCUGGUGGAGGCUCGCAGCGGUUCUGACGUGCAAAUCGAUCGUCAAAUCUGAGCAUGGGGGCGAAAGACUAAUCGAACCAUCUAGUAGCUGGUUACCGCCGA
rnacentral:rRNA from 1 species